rnacentral:SRP_RNA from 1 species
CCGUGCUAGACGGGGAGGUAGCGGUGCCCUGUACCCGCAAUCCGCUGCAGCGGGGUCGAAUUCCCGUCGUGAGGUUUGUCUUAUGUGGGGUCUGGCCGGAGUAAGUGGUGUUGACGAGUGGGUCUUGCGCAACGGAACCUUGUGAACCCCGUCAGGUCCGGGAGGAAGCAGCGGUAAGCAAGUCCUUCCGUGUGCCGCAAGGGUGCCUGCUAAGAGCUAACUGCUUCGGUAUCGCCCGGAUAAGCAAAUCGAUGACGGGUGCACGG